GAACCAGCCAAGUAGCGUGAAGGAUGACUGCCCUAUGGGUUGUAAACUUCUUUUAUAAAGGAAUAAAGUCGGGUAUGCAUACCCGUUUGCAUGUACUUUAUGAAUAAGGAUCGGCUAACUCCGUGCCAGCAGCCGCGGUAAUACGGAGGAUCCGAGCGUUAUCCGGAUUUAUUGGGUUUAAAGGGAGCGUAGAUGGAUGUUUAAGUCAGUUGUGAAAGUUUGCGGCUCAACCGUAAAAUUGCAGUUGAUACUGGAUAUCUUGAGUGCAGUUGAGGCAGGCGGAAUUCGUGGUGUAGCGGUGAAAUGCUUAGAUAUCACGAAGAACUCCGAUUGCGAAGGCAGCCUGCUAAGCUGCAACUGACAUUGAGGCUCGAAAGUGUGGGUAUCAAACAGGAUUAGAUACCCUG
rnacentral:rRNA from 1 species